AGGCUGUGAGUCAAACCUUGACACUGUGCCGGAAGGACGUCCACCUCUCACCUGAGGUGAAGAACCUAUGCCAUCACUUUGGACUCAGCGGACUCCACUGUUUAGAUGGACUUUCCUCUGUGAGAGUGCAAACACAGCAAGCAGAUGCCAACAGCCCCCAGCGACUGGGCUCGCAGGCACUAUUGUGGGUCAGACACUCAGAAACAUGCUGGUGUGGUUGAAGAUAUUUUGGUUUCAUUGUUUUCCUUUAGACACUUGAGUUGUUUUGUUGUUGUUAUUGUUGUUUUGUUUUUUGUUUCUUUGUGUGUGUGUGUGUGUGUGUGUGUGUGUGUGUGUGUGUGCGUUUACUAUGAUUCAAACAAAUGCUAGCUGCCUGUGGCAAGUAUCUAUGGAGGUCUGUUUUGACUUAUUAAACAUUCUAGCAGAAAACAGAUGUUAGCCUUUCAUAGAGUGUGUGGAACUUGAGACAAGAAAGACUGUGUAUCUCUUCUGUGCUCAAUUAAAAAGAUGGAUCACAAUCUACAGAACAAGCCAUACCCACUGAGUGAAGGGCUCUGAGAAACUGUCCUGAAUCCCUGAGGCUUCUCCAGAAGGGAAACAGAAGCCUGAGAUUGCUUCAAGUGGUUGCUGGCUCUCCAGAAACUUCUGGAAACCAUCUUUGCUGGACAACUGGAGAUGACACAGGCAUUGGUGGUGUGAAGACAAGGAUGGGAAACCAUGCCGCAGGCCCAUUGGAAGGGGCUUCCUAACUGCCUAUAUGCUCAUCUGGCCCAUGAUACCGCUGAAGGAGGAGGCAUACUGAGAAAGCAUGCUUGUCAGCCUCAAGAGACUCAAAGGGGAAUAUGGUGAAGGUAGCCAUUGUUCACAUCUGCUCAGAGAAUGUCCACUGAGAACCUGUGAAGAAGCAGGGAUCUGGUCACAAUUGAACUCAAGCAAGGUCCUUGCUUGGGAUGGAUGCCAGUUUUAGAGACAUCAACAAAUGGAAAAAGAACUGUGCAUCACAUCCAGAGAGGGCAGAAUGAAGGAGAAGUGGUUGGACUGGUUGGAGCAGCAACCCAGGAAGCUGCUCAUGGCGGUCUGGGUUAGGAGAGUGAAAGGAAUGUCUUAACUACAUGGAUGGUCAGAGGUAAUAGUGGAGAUGUAAGAAAGAGACAAAGGGCCAGAGUUAUCUACAGGCUGUACCUGCCAGGUUUGUGUUGAUUGGCCACCAAGUACCUUGAGCUGAUUUGCUCGCUGUGAGAAUCUGAGAGCCUUUUGCCUCCACUACAGAGCCUAGAGCCAUACUGCCUUUGUGAUACAUGGACUGGGGCAUAAGAACAUUCCCAAAGUCCAAGACAAACAGAUAUGAGACUAACACACUCAGAAGAGAGAGCUAAGAGCACCCAUUGCCCUUGAAGGUGAUGGCUUUCCAUAUAUGAAAGGUAGCUGUACUACGUGUGUACAAAGUGUGUCACCAGGAAUAUGCACUCUGAUAAACAUCCAAGAGAACUGGCCUGGCUUGAGGUAAAGGGACAGUGACUUCGGACAAGCUGCUGGGUUUCAAGAGGCUCUUCAAGGAUAGCAGGGGACAGAGGAAACUUCUGCACUUGGGACCAGGAGAAUCAGACUGUCAGUCAAGGGAAAGGGCCCAAGAAAGUCCAGAAAAAGAUUCCAGGAAAGUGGCAAAUUCUCUAAGGAAAGACUAUGCCCAUCUGACCCAUCUCCCUAUGACCCAGCCAAUGGCAUAGGUGAAAUUACCGAUCAUAGAACAUAUCUAAUACCACGGUGCAAGAGGACCACAUGGAAAGCAUUCGAAGCUCUUCUAAAACACAGGCUCUUCUCGGGCUUUUGGCUUUCUUCACUCUGGAUGCCUAGGUCUGGUUUCUGGGUGCUGUUCCUCUCUGUCUAUUAUCAUCAACCUUCUCCUUAAUAAAUCAGCUCAAAGACACUGUCUUCUUGGUUCCUCU
rnacentral:lncRNA from 1 species